rnacentral:tRNA from 3 species
CGGGAUGUAGCUUAGCUUGGUAGAGCGCCUGGUUUGGGACCAGGAGGUCGCAGGUUCAAAUCCUGUCAUCCCGACCA